rnacentral:lncRNA from 1 species
GUGGUGUGUUAAUAAUGAUUUGGUGGCUAAUUACGACGUUCCAAUUUUUUGGCUUUGGGAAAAAGAGAACAAAUGACUUGCCUUUGCCAGUCAUCAUGUCGAUGAUGUCCUUAGUAUGGGUGGUUGUUGCUUGGCCUUCGGUUGGCAAUUCUUGUGAAUCCGGAGUCAUCCCAUUCGAAACUCCUACCUGAGCUAAAGCCAAUCCCUUUGCCUUAGUCCUAGUCACUCUAGGAGGCAUACUGUCAGAGGCAUCAAAUGCCCAAAUUCUUUUGGACAACCCUCUUUCCCCACAGACAGGUAUGCUAUCACUGAUCUGAUUGGACUAAUUGCAUAAACAAAAAUAAUGAGAAGAAAUC